rnacentral:rRNA from 1 species
UAAGCAUAUCAAUAAGCGGAGGAAAAGAAACUAACAAGGAUUCCCCUAGUAACUGCGAGUGAAGCGGGAAAAGCUCAAAUUUGAAAUCUGGCAGUCUUUUUUUUCUUCUUUGGCUGUCCGAGUUGUAAUCUAGAGAAGUGCUUACCUGCACUGGACCAUGUAUAAGUCUCCUGGAAUGGAGCGUCACAGAGGGUGAGAAUCCCGUCUUUGACAUGGACUGCCAGUGUGUUGUGGUGUGCUCUCAAAGAGUCGAGUUGUUUGGGAAUGCAGCUCUAAAUGGGUGGUAAACUCCAUCUAAAGCUAAAUAUUGGCGAGAGACCGAUAGUGAACAAGUACCGUGAGGGAAAGAUGAAAAGGACUUUGGAAAGAGAGUUAAACAGUAUGUGAAAUUGUUGAAAGGGAAACGCUUGAAGUCAGUUAUGUUGGCUAGGGAUCAACCUAGCUGUUUUUUGCUGGGUGAAUUUCCUAGUCUGACAGGCCAACAUCAGUCUUGACUGCUGGAAAAGAGCAGGGGGAAUGUGGCACCUUUGGGUGUGUUAUAGCCCUUUGUCAUAUGUGGCAGUUGGGACUGAGGGAUGCAGCAUGCCGCGAGGCUGGGUUUCUGACCACGUUCAUGCUUAGGAUGUUGGCUUUUAAUGGCUUCAAUCGACCCGU